AUUGAACGCUGGCGGCGUGCUUAACACAUGCAAGUCGAUCGGUAACGCGGGGGCAACCCUGGCGACGAGAGGCGGACGGGUGAGGAACGCUUGGGAAUCUGCCCUUCAGCGGGGGACAACGCGGGGAAACUCGUGCUAAUACCGCAUACGCUCCACGGAGGAAAGCCGGGGACCGCAAGGCCUGGCACUGAAGGAUGAGCCCAAGUCGGAUUAGCUUGUUGGUGGGGUAAUGGCCUACCAAGGCAACGAUGGGUAGCUGGUCUGAGAGGACGAUCAGCCACACUGGGACUGAGACACGGCCCAGACUCCUACGGGAGGCUGCAGUGGGGAAUCUUGCGCAAUGGGCGACAGCUUGACGCAGCAACGCCGCGUGGGGGAAGAAGGCUUUCGGGUCGUAAACCCCUUUCAGUUAGGACGAAGCUUUAUUGGUUAAUAACCAAUUGGAGUGACGGUACUUUCAGAAGAAGCCCCGGCUAACUACGUGCCAGCCGCCGCGGUAAUAC
rnacentral:rRNA from 1 species